CCUACGGGGGGCAGCAGUGAGGAAUAUUGGUCAAUGGACGAGAGUCUGAACCAGCCAAGUAGCGUGAAGGAUGACUGCCCUAUGGGUUGUAAACUUCUUUUAUAUGGGAAUAAAAUGUUCCACGUGUGGGAUUUUGUAUGUACCAUAUGAAUAAGGAUCGGCUAACUCCGUGCCAGCAGCCGCGGUAAUACGGAGGAUCCGAGCGUUAUUCGGAUUUAUUGGGUUUAAAGGGAGCGUAGGUGGAUUGUUAAGUCAGUUGUGAAAGUUUGCGGCUCAACCGUAAAAUUGCAGUUGAAACUGGCAGUCUUGAGUACAGUAGAGGUGUGCGGAAUUCGUGGUGUAGCGGUGAAAUGCUUAGAUAUCACGAAGAACUCCGAUUGCGAAGGCAGUUCACUGGACUGCAACUGACACUGAGGCUCGAAAGUGUGGGUAUCAAACAGGAUUAGAUACCCCAGUAGUC
rnacentral:rRNA from 1 species